UCUAUGUCAGUGGCAACUUCCAACAGCUAUGACACAGGUGUCAAGCAACUUGAAUUUUAUAUGUCAGCAUGAUCAUCAGAUUGAAGAAAUCACAUUAAUAAGAACCAACAUGGAAUCUCAACACGUAAUACAGAUGAAGCCAAAGAAACACAGAUAGAUUGAGGCAGAAAAUGCAGAGACUAUGAAUCUUCUUGGAUCCACAUGAAGCUUCCCUGAAAGUUGCACUGUGACAGAACUCCAGCC
rnacentral:lncRNA from 1 species